rnacentral:lncRNA from 1 species
CGAAAACUUUACUUCCUGUUCUUGUGAAGUGGUGAUCCUGGUGUGGGCAGUUUGGCACUGACUACUUUACAUAACACACACCUUUAACAGCCUGCUGGGUGUAACUUUCUCAUGUCUCCUCCUGGUUGUGUAGUUUGAUGAGUGGGCGCCCCCUAGUGUCAGAAACAAAUGAGUGCAGCUUUAAUGUUGUCUUCAGAUUUAGACAUGAAAUAAUUGUUUGAAUGACAACAGACCUUUGACCUGCUCUGUGUGUGUGUGUGUGUGUGUGUGUGUGUGUGUGUGUGUGUGUGUGUGUGUGUGUGUGUGGUUCCUCUGACAGGGUGAAGAUGGUCUCCAGGUUCCUGCUGCUCAUGGCUCUGAGCGUCUGUGUCUCUGGUUGGUUUCCACCUUCACUUUCUUCUCCACAAAGAGAAAAGAGGAGAUCCACUUUGAGACUGACUGAAACACUUGAACACUUCCAUUAGAAAAGAUGUUGAAAGACUCACAUGUUCCUGUGUUUUUCUGCUCCUCUCUUUCCCUCUCUGUCUCCUCUACAGGAACACUUGUAGUCAAGGUGGCUCACAGCUCCUAUCAGACAGAAGUGGACCAGGACCUCACCCUGGAGUGGACCUUCACACCCAGACCUGACAGCUCUCUGAAAAAUCUCGAUAUCUUCUGUUACAUGUUCAACAAUCAGAAAUACUCAGUCCUGUUUGAGCUUCGUAAAGGUGUGGAGGUCCCAGAGGCUCAGGCUAAAGAGUUGGUAGGGCGAGUCCAGUGUGACAAAGAGGUCCUCAGAGAGGGACUGAUCAGACUUCAUGUGUCCUCACUCAGGACUGAAGACUCAGGCUGGUCUCAGUGUAAAGUAAUCACAGAAUAUGGGAACAGCUUGGACAUAUGUCAUGUCAGUGUGACUGGUGAGUUGAUUUAUUCUUUAGCAGAACUUUAAAAAGUUUCUUCUCCACAAAGAGAAAAGAGGAGAUCCACUUUGAGACUGACUGAAACACUUGAACACUUCCAUUAGAAAAGAUGUUGAAAGACUCACAUGUUCCUGUGUUUUUCUGCUCCUCUCUUUCCCUCUCUGUCUCCUCUACAGGAACACUUGUAGUCAAAGUGGCUCACAGAUCCUAUGAGGCACAGGAGGACCAGGACAUCACCCUGGAGUGGACCUUCACACCCAAACCUCACAGCUCUCUGCAGACUCUGAACAUUUUCUGUGGUAUGUUCAGUGGUAAGAAAAACUCAGUCCUGUUUGAGCUUCAUGAAGGAGUGGAGGUCCCACAGAAGGAGGGAGACUUUGUAGGUCGAGUCCAGUGUGACAAAGAGGUCCUCAAAGAGGGACAGAUCAGACUUCAUGUGUCCUCACUCAGGACUGAAGACUCAGGAUUCUAUCAGUGUGGAGUCAAGACAGAGUAUGGGAGCAACUUGGACAAAUGUUUUCUCUUUGUGUCCGGUGAGUUGAUUAAUUUCUCAGCAGAACUUUAAAAAGACGUUCAGUUCAGUUUCUGUUUGUUUUUGGAUCCAGAAGAAUCUGAGAUUAAAGUAUCAUUGAGGUUUUUAUGGACCUGUUCCUGUUGAUCUCUUGUGUUUGUUUAUUCUUCUCCUUAAUGAAUCUAACCUUUUGGUCUCUCUCUAGGAAAGAGCGAUGCCCUUUUUGGAGGGAUAAUGUUGGCAACACCAGCAGUCAUCGGUUUGCUCUGUGUUUUUUUCUUUUUCUCCAAAUGUCUGUUACGUGGAUUACAACGUGUCUACCGCUCCUUCCAAAAAGACAGACCCCCCCAGUCUAUCAGAGUCCAGCCUGAAGGCCUCAGCUCCCUCCAAACCAGGGCAGUCAUAUAAGGAGAAGAGAGAGAAACUGAACUCUGAACCUCAAUACCAGAUCAUAAUUAAUGAAAUGACUUAUUUUGAUGUUUGAAGAUUGAUGGAUUGUGUUGAUGUGUUGGUGUUUUAGAGACCUGAGUUGAACCUGAUUUGAUCUGUACAACCCACAGCAGCUGUAAAUAAAUCUUGUGGAGAACUUC